UGAUGGUGGUCCAGAUCCAGGUUCAGAGAGAUCCUUGAAUGGAGGCACAGAAACAAGCACACACACUGAUCCGAACUCAGAUCCACCUACUGGUAAAUACUUAAACGUACACUUUACCUAUAAAUGAUAAAGUAGUUCUUGUCCCAAUGCUGUUUAGAGUGGAUUGGUGUCAUUAGUCUCUUUAACAAUUAACUGACAUUACGCUAUCAUUUUAUUACAUGGCACACAAAAUAAAUAAAUAGACAUGAAAUUCUGAUUUAAAUUCAAAAUAAAGCCAUUUUAGUUCCUUAUAGAUACUAAGUGAAUAACUUACAUUUCUGUAUGUUUUUCACACACAGCUAUUAUAGGAAUAAAAUGCAUUAGUUGUAUAUAUUGCUUUUUUGUAUUUUAGGAGUUUGACAGACAUUGCCCUACAAACUGUACACAGACAAUUAUUCUUGUUAUUCUUCUUUUGAGUUUCAAGCAAUAGUGGAAUAUGUUAUUAAGUGUUCCUCUAGCUCAAUUGGUAGAUCAUUGAGUUAGCAGUUCAAAAGGUUAUGGGUUUUAUUCCCAGGAAACACACAUGUUGACAUACUUAUAUAAAAAUUAAUAGCUUAAAUGCACUGUAAGUUUCUUUUGAUUAGUGUCUGUCCAAAAGUACAUAAUGAUGACAGUUAAAUUUUUUAUGUGGACUAAUAUUAGAUCAGGGUGCAAAGGAGUCUACAAAACCAGAACAUGAUGCAGAGAGGUGUGUGGAAGGAGGAAUAGCGGUAUCUGUAGUCAAAGGUGUUUGCCCACAGAAUGAGGUGUUUUAUGUAUCAUCUAAUGUUGUCACCAUCUUACCAUCAUUGUAUGUUCCACGCCUGCCAUUUUUGGAUGAGUCACUUAUCAAUUACAAGGAACGGGACCUCUUGGGUGAAGGAUCAUUUGGAAAGGUGUAUAGAGGUUCUUUCCAGGGAACCCCAGCUGCCAUAAAGAGGAUUCCAUAUGGCAUAGCAGGACUUGAAGAUCGGGACAUACAGCAUGAGAUUCUCGUCUCACUGCGACUGAGCCAUCCCAAUAUUGUUCGACUCAUGGCAGCAGCCCGCACUGAAAACACCUUUUUGCUGGCCAAUGAAUACGUUCAUGGCACAAUCCUGGAUCAUGUGAUACACAAUGGCAAUGCUUGUGUUAAGUUUGAAGGAAACGACAGUCAUUUUGUUGCCCUUGACAUAUCCAUGGCCGUUGAAUACAUUUUCAAAAAAUGUCAUUCAUCAGGAUCUAAAGCCUGAAAAUAUUUUGAUUGACAGAUUCUCUAAAAAAGCUGUACUUACUGACUGGGGACUAGCCAACAUAAGGGACACUGUUGUACUACGACAAGGAAGCAGAGUUACCGAAGGCAGGUUAGGACCAAUGGGUGGAACUUUUCUUUACAUGGCUCCAGAGUGUCUUAUUGAGUUUGAAGAGGCUUCUAGAAGCUCUGACAUCUGGUCUUUGGGAGCAACAUACCUUGAACUUUUCACAAAGUUAAAGCCCUGGACAGUAAAAAAACAAAAGCAGUUGUCUGGCCUAAUGACCAAAAAUGCACAGCCACAUGCUCUUGAACAUCUGUGUGAAAAAUACAGUUUCAUUGCCAUGAUGCUACACUAUGACCCAGCAUCAAGACCUGAAGCUUCAUCAGUUGUUCUCUCUCUAAAAAAAGUUGAAGGGCCAGAUUAUCUGAGUCGUUAUGGUUACA